rnacentral:rRNA from 1 species
UACGUAGGGGGCGAGCGUUGUCCGAAGUUACUGGGCGUAAAGAGCGCGUAGGCGGGUCUUUAAGUGAGGGGUGAAAGGUUCAGGGCUUAACCCGGACACUGCCUUUCAUACUGGAGAUCUUGAGUGCGGGAGAGGCGAGUGGAACGGUCGGUGUAGCGGUGAAAUGCGUAGAUAUCGAUCAGAACACCCAUGGCGAAGGCCGCUCGCUGGUCUGCAACUGACGCUGAGGAGCGAAAGCGUGGGGAGCGAACAGG